AUUGAACGCUGGCGGCAGGCUUAACACAUGCAAGUCGAGCGGGGGAAGGUAGCUUGCUACCUAACCUAGCGGCGGACGGGUGAGUAAUGCUUAGGAAUCUGCCUAUUAGUGGGGGACAACAUUUCGAAAGGGAUGCUAAUACCGCGUACGCCCUAAGGGGGAAAGCAGGGGAUCUUCGGACCUUGCGCUAAUAGAUGAGCCUAAGUCGGAUUAGCUAGUUGGUGGGGUAAAGGCCUACCAAGGCGACGAUCUGUAGCGGGUCUGAGAGGAUGAUCCGCCACACUGGGACUGAGACACGGCCCAGACUCCUACGGGAGGCAGCAGUGGGGAAUAUUGGACAAUGGGGGGAACCCUGAUCCAGCCAUGCCGCGUGUGUGAAGAAGGCCUUUUGGUUGUAAAGCACUUUAAGCGAGGAGGAGGCUACCGAGAUUAAUACUCUUGGAUAGUGGACGUUACUCGCAGAAUAAGCACCGGCUAACUCUGUGCCAGCCGCCGCAGUAACAC
rnacentral:rRNA from 1 species